ensembl:lncRNA
UUUACUUUUUUUUUGUUGUUUGUUUCUUUUGGUUUUUUUUUUGUUGUUUGUUUCUUUUGGUUUGAUUUUAUCCAAACAGAUAAUCAAGGAAUCACUCAGUCUAAAAGGAAUCUCAGCUGGUCAGCCAGUUUCACCUCCUGCUCAGAAAAAGGUCAAUGCUGAAUUCAGACCAGGUUUUGCAAAGCUCUUUUGCCAUCAAGACCUUGAAGAUUUUGAAGAACAAAGACUUCACAGCCUCUCUGAGUAACCUGUUUGUAUGCUCAAUUAUCCUCAUAGUGGGUUAUUUUCUUUAUCUCUAUUCAGAACUUGUUUGAAUUUAAAUAUAUUUUUUCCCUCUUUGUGCUAUUGUGCACCUCAGUAAAGACUCUAGCUUUAUCUUCCCAGCAACCUACUUCCAAGUAUUAUAGGGCUACUACUAGGUCCCCUCAACUUUCUUAUUUAGGCAGAACAAGCACGAUUCUUUUAAUUGGUCCUCAAAGAAUGUGCCAUUUUAGUAAUCUGGAUAUGCUUUAAAUCUGUUCAGUGAUCUUCACAGCAAGAAAAACUAAUUGUAAUACAUUAUUUGAUACUAGAUUUUCUCGGUGUCUAGAGUAGUACUAAAGUUUUGAGGGGGAAAGAAACUGUGAGAUUUUAAUAUUGUUAUAGUAGUAACAUAAUUUUUUUUUUUAAUCAUCGACUAUACUCACUAGUACUUUAUGUUUUCUUCAGAACUUUUUUCAGAACUUUUCUGUCUUCACAGGAGAGGUGUUCCAGCCUUCUGUUCAUCUUUAUCGCCCUCCUCUGGACACUCCCCAACAAGUUUAUUUCCUUCUUAUGCUAUUGAAUACAAGAAUAAGGCCUUGUUCAUUGGUCCUCAAGUUAUGAAACAGAAUCCCACAAUGCAGAAAUAACUCUGGAAAUGUAUGUUUAGGAAUCAUAAUAAUGGGACCUUCCUCUAGCCCCCAACAUCCAGGAUCUUUGUAAGAAUGAGAGAGAAAGAAAGAAAGAAAGAAAGAAAGAAAGAAAGAAAGAAAGAAAGAAAGAAAGAAAGAAAGAA